rnacentral:rRNA from 1 species
UACGUAGGGGGCAAGCGUUAUCCGGAUUUAUUGGGUUUAAAGGGUGCGUAGGCGGGUUAUCAAGUCAGCGGUAAAAUCGAGGGGCUCAACCCCUUUAAGCCGUUGAAACUGGUGAUCUUGAGUGGGCGAGAAGUAUGCGGAAUGCGUGGUGUAGCGGUGAAAUGCAUAGAUAUCACGCAGAACUCCGAUUGCGAAGGCAGCAUACCGGCGCCCAACUGACGCUGAAGCACGAAAGCGUGGGUAUCGAACAGG